rnacentral:rRNA from 1 species
UACGUAGGGUGCAAGCGUUAUCCGGAAUUAUUGGGCGUAAAGAGCUCGUAGGCGGUGUGUCACGUCGGCCGUGAAAACCUGGGGCUUAACUCUGGGCGUGCGGUCGAUACGGGCAUCACUAGAGUUCGGCAGGGGAGACUGGAAUUCCUGGUGUAGCGGUGAAAUGCGCAGAUAUCAGGAGGAACACCGGUGGCGAAGGCGGGUCUCUGGGCCGAUACUGACGCUGAGGAGCGAAAGCAUGGGUAGCGAACAGG